UGACAGACUCCCAUAAUGCCGGUCUUGUAACAGAUAUAAAACAGCACAAGUUCGGAAUUACGGGUUUCUGUUAA
rnacentral:pre_miRNA from 1 species